GAGGGAGCAUACAUGUGCAAAAAGGAGAGAGAGACAAAGCGUGAUUGAGAAAAGAAUAAUCGCUGCUAUAGGAAGCCUUAUAGUCGGCGCGCGGUUCAGUUGGCGUUCGGACGCACCAUCACAUUCGCGAAAUAUAUACAUUAUAUAUACACCUGCUGCCGCUGAAACGGGCAACGUGCUCGCGCGUCUCUCUCGAGGCAGACUCUUCGCUGAAAAUUUUUCGAUAUCCAAGUGCAGUGUAGCCGCAGUUAGCUUCGUCCGGCCGGUCGAUCGACACAUAACACAUAACACACGCGAGCAUCAUCGUCAUCAUCAUGCCCAACUGCCCGAAAUGCGACAAGCCCGUGUACUUUGCCGAAAGAAAAACGUCUUUGGGCAAGGAUUGGCACGGGGCGUGCUUGAGGUGCGAGAAAUGCAACAAAACUCUGAAUCCAGGCAGCCACGCCGAGCAUGAGGGCAAACCGUACUGCAAUAAUCCAUGCUAUUCGGCAUUAUUUGGCCCCGGAGUUUAUAGGUCGUACUACUGACGAAUACGAGUGUAUUCGGAGAUAGAAGCUACAAGUGGGUGUUGUUGCGUAUCACUUUUCGAUAAAAAUUUACUGGAUGCAACCGAUGAGCAAAGAAUAAAGAGACUUUUUAGAAAAUGUUUCUGUGGAAAUGUUUAAAACUGAUUAAAUUACAUAUUAUGGUUUAUUCCUUUCGUGUUAACUUUUUCUUUCAAAAUUGAUUGAUAGUUCAAAAGGAUGAAAUAAGAGAAUUAAUUUGGUUCAGUUAAUAAGUUUUUGCACCAAGGUUUCGGAAGGGGCGGAGCGGAAAGUUAUGUUUAUAAAAAAUAAUUCACAGUAUACAAUACUGUAGUACAAAAUAAAUGUCUAAUGAUAUAAUGUUUAUAAGGUUAAUAUUUGCUGGUUAAAAUGGUUGGGUUCUUUAGCCAUCAUAAAUAAAUAAAGAAUUUGAAAAAAAA